rnacentral:rRNA from 1 species
UUCCGGUUGAUCCUGCCGGACCCCACUGCUAUCGAGGUGGGACUUAGCCAUGCUAGUCGAACGAACAGAACUAUGUCUGUAAGUGGCAUACUGCUCAGUAACACGUAGCUAACCUACCCUUAGGACGUUGAUAACCCCGAGAAAUUGGGGCUAAUAGGCGAUAGGUGUGAUGUCCUGGAAUGGUAUCACGCCCAAAGGUAUCCCAUACAUGUUUGGUAUACGCCUAAGGAUGGGGCUGCGGCCGAUCAGGCAGUUGGUGAGGUAAUGGCUCACCAAACCUUUGACCGGUACGGGCCAUGAGAGUGGUAGCCCGGAGAUGGACACUGAGACAAGGGUCCAGGCCCUACGGGGCGCAGCAGGCGCGAAACCUCCUCAAUGCACUAACGUGCGAAGGGGUUACCUCGAGUGCCACCUGAAGAAGGUGGCUUUUCCUUGGUCUAAAAAGCCUCGGGAAUAAGAGGGGGGCAAGACUGGUGUCAGCCGCCGCGGUAACACCAGCCCCUCGAGUGGUGGGGAUGAUUAUUUGGCCUAAAGCGUCCGUAGCCGGCCGUGAAAGUCUUCCGUUAAAUCCAGCGUCUCAAGCGUUGGACCGCGGGAGAUACUACAUGGCUAGAGAGUGGGAGAGGUCAGCGGUAUUCUGGGGGUAGGGGCGAAAUCCUUUGAUCCCCGGAGGACCACCAGUGGCGAAGGCUGCUGACUAGAACACGUCUGACGGUCAGGGACGAAAGCUGGGGUAGCGAACCGGAUUAGAUACCCGGGUAGUCCCAGCCGUAAACGAUGCAUGCUAGGUGUU